rnacentral:rRNA from 1 species
AGGAAAUAGAUACCCGGGUAGUCCACGCCCUAAACGAUGAUGACUGGCUUUCCGGAGUAUCGACCCUCUGGGAGGCGAAAGCUAAACGCGUUAAGUCAUCCGCCUGGGUAGUACGGCCGCAAGGCUAAAACUCAAAGGAAUAGACGGGAGCUCGCACAAGUGGUGGAGCGUGUGGCUCAAUUCGUCGCUAAACGAAGAACCUUACCAGGGUUAGAAAUCCUACUGCACGCCUAGGGAAACCUAGGAAGCUUUCGAAGGUGUAGGACAGGUGAUGCACGGCUGUCGUCAGUCCGUGGUUUGAAAUCGUUCCCUUCAGUGGGGUAACGAACGCAACCCUCGUUGCCAGUUACAAGUGUCUGGCGAGACUGCCCCCUCACGGGGGA